rnacentral:lncRNA from 1 species
GGUAAAGCUGAGAGCAGUAGAGCCGGGGGCUGUAUAGCAAAUAAGAGACAGGGCCAGGAUUCAAACCCAGCUCCUCACUGCUCUGCUCUACUCCCCAGAGAAUGUGCAGCUCAGCGGCCCAGGCCAGCCCAGGGGAAGACCCCAGGGGAAAGACUAGCUGUGCUGUUGGCAAGUAACAUAGCUGUGUGCGUCCCUCAAAUAUCCAGUACUUGAUGCAGGGCCUGUGACCAAAUGGACAGAAGUCAUGAAGGAUGCCUUCAGUAUGGCUGGCUCUGACCUCUGACCUCCCUGCCGCAGGUGGGAUGGGACAGCCUCACAUUUCCCUCCAAGAUGUUCAUGUCUUCCGCCUGGGUGUUCUAAAAGGUUGUUCAUCCCCAACACACAUUUUGCAUCCCUGUUUGUCUCAAAUCUGCAUGAUUAAAUUUAAGAGCGGCCCUCCUCACUCCCAACAUACGGACUGCAUCUCUGCAUGUACCUUUAGCUACCAUAGUCCUCAAACUGAAGUGUGUGUGAAAAUCACCAGAAGAUAAACAGGUGUCCCCUCACCUGUAUGUGGCUAAUCUCUCCUGCUGAAGACACUUAUCAUUUUCCCCGGAGCCUGGAUGGAAGAGUCACUAUAAGCCAGGCCCUGGAGCUCCACCUCUUUAAUUUAGCAGUAAACCAGGCCGAGUCAGACCCUGCCCUCAUGGAAGCCUCACUGCAUGUGGGAAGAGAAGCAUCUCUGGGGGUGAGAAUAAAUGGGAUUAACUCUGAAUGGGUGAAAGCCUU